ACCAACCAACCAACCAACCAACCAACCAAACAAACAAACAAACAAAAAGAUUACCAUAAAUACUUUCUUUUGUAAGAGUUGCCUUAAUCAUGUAUCUCUUCAGAGCAAUGGAACAGUAACUAAGAUACCAACUACAUGUUUAAAUUUGUAUUUUGUUUUACCCUGCAUGUAUUUUUGUGCCUGUAUGAGGGUGUGUUCAUGUGAGGGCAAGGCCAGUGAAGUCAAGAAGAAGGCUCAUGGAGCUUGAGGUACAAGUGCCAGUGUGGGUGCUGGGAACCAAACGUGAGUCCUCUGUUAAGGAUAGUAUGUGAUCUAACUAUUGAGUCAUCUCUCCAGCCCUCCUGCUAUACACUUUUGACCUUGGAUUUUCUUAUCAGCUUGUCUAUGUCUAUGUUAGCAGGAAUAGCAAAUAGAGUGAGAGCUAUUAUUCUUGACAUUUUUAAUUUGGAAUUUGCCUGGAUAACAUGUGAUCACUAUUACAGAAUCAUCCCCACCAAAAAAAAAAUUCACAAAAUAAGCAAGAAUAUCUUUAUACUUGUGCUGUAAAAAAUGUCCCAUAGCCUAGCUCAUGCUAGGGAAAACUAGAGUCUGGUGGUUUGUUAUGAUGGAACACAGGCAGGGCUUCACUAUGAAGCCCCAGCUGGCUUGGAAUAUCCUCUGUAGACUAAGCUGACCUUGAACUCCUGUUAUACAUCUCUAGGGGUAGGCUAGAAUUAAUGGCGUGGUUCAAUCAUUAAUUAAUUAGCAUCAUGUUAAGUGAGGCAGACACUCCCCCCCCAGCUUGAGACAUACUGUUCAAUUGAAGAAGACAUAACAACUCAUUUCAAAAUCCUAAGACACUCAAGCAUGGAGUUGUUAGGACAUAGAUUCAGAUAUUUAUAGUGUAAAGAUUACUGGAUGUUAAUAUAAGGUAAGUAUUAGUACCAUCAACAGCAUCUCUAUCCUGCUAGUGAUGAGCCACACACUCUACCCUCAUCCUUGCACAUUGUGAUUGCCCUCAUUAAAACCCUGUAUGCUUUAUUAUAGAUGAUGACAAGUCUAUGUGCCUCUUUGUCAGAUCUUAGAGGUUAACUUGAAAAACAGGUUUCAUGCACACUGAUUGCAAUUAAGCACAUCUUAGUGGGUGUAAAGUAAAAGGCUAAAGUAAUUGGGCUUUUGUAUAUUUGAGACAGGAUCUUACUAUGUAAAUCAAGCUGGUAUUGAACACAUGAUCCUGCUCUUUUAGUACUGGGAUUGCAGGCUGCACCACACGGAUGUAUGGUCAUAUAGAAUCAAUGAACUCCAUGAAUAUAAGGGUGGGAGGAAUUUCAAAAAUCUUAGUAAAUCACACAUUAGACACAAUUCAUGACUAGUGUUAAGGGCAUGCCACUCAUGGCACUCUCUUUGGCCCUGGGGGAGUCAGUGUGCAGCAUACAGGGCUUUCAAACCAUGUAUUUCCUCACACUAAAAAGCACUAAAGGCCUGGGGUAAAGGGAUCUCUACUUUGUCAUUUUAUCUUUAUAGGCCAAGAGAAGUCUGAAAAUUGGUUAGUGUCAUGGGAAAUACCCUUUGCUCUUCACUGCAUGAGUUUUGAGAAGAUGUAGUGCCUGUGUUUAUACAUCCAUCAUUCUGGAAGGAAUUGAUAACAGCCUAGACAGAAGCCAUUACCUACCCCAAUAUUCCUUCUCCAUUUGUAUAUGUGUUAUCUGCACAUGUUUACAUUCCUUUAUUUUAGUUUGAUUAAUCUAUUAUAUUGUAAUUGUUGUUGUUGAGAAAGAGGCACACUAUGUAGCCCUGGCUGGCCUCAAACUCACAAAGAAUCACCUAUCCCUGUGUCUUGAAUGCUGGAGUUAAAGAUGUCCAUCAGUACAUCUCCCUCCACCAUUUUUUUGAGACAGCAUUUUUCACUGUACCAGGAGCUCAGUAUUCAGUUAGACUAGCUGGCCAGAAGGCUACCUGAGCUCCUCCUGUCUCCACCUCCUAGCACUGAAGCUACAGGUGAAUUUGAGAGCUUGCAGAUGAAGGUUUAGGAUCUGAACUCUGACCCUCAUGUUGCAGUGUGAAUACUCCACUCAUUGAGCAAUCUCCCAUCUCUCAUUUGUUUUAAAACAGAAGGACAAAUUUUUAUAAACAAUGUAUCUAGAAAAAAAACACUAUGGUUUUACUUUCUCCAUUCCAUACUUUGUGGGCAAAGGUGAUCAAUGGGAUGCUAGAAUAUUUGGUAAAGAGACUUGUAAGCAAGCAUAUAUAAAGUAAAUUGACUUGUCUGGACCCAUUUUCCUAUUUGCUAUUUAUACUGUCUCUUCUUCUUUCAGGUGAUGCCUGAAAGUCCUGCAGUCAUCCUGUGGCAUGCAAUUAUAAUUCUAGAAUUUGGAAGGCAGAGACAGGCAGUUCCCAGGACAGCUGUUCUCAGAAGCAUAAUUUCAGAGUGUCCCUGCAUACCAAUCUCUGGUGACAAGAAGAUACUGAAGGACUUAUGUAGGUGAAAAAAAAAACCAUGGAAAUUAAGCUACUCUCCAGUCCUUAAUUUUACUUUUUAAAAAGCUGAUUUAUUUUAUUUUAUGUGUAUGAAUGUUUUGUCUGCAUGCAAAUAUGUAUACUACAUGUAUGCCCAGUUCCUAUAGAGGCCAGAGAACAUUGGGUACCCUGGAACUAGAGUUAAUAGAAAGUUGUGAGCUAUCAUGCUGGUGUUGGGAAUUGAACCCAGAUCCUCUAUGUGAGCAGUCAGUGCUUUUAGCACUUGAAUAAUCUCUCCACAACCUUCUAAUGUACUUUUAAUGAAGGCAAGCUAUCCAUCAGUUUUUAAAAUUUGGAUUUUCUGUUACGAUUAGAAAAACAUUUCCUACCCCCUUAAAUUUAUGUAGUUGUUUUAAUUUUAUUUAAAUUAGUAGGGUGUUUAGAGGUUUAAAAUGUGAUUUAUUUUUCUCUUUCACAUUUCCUUGGUUUGGAUAGACUAGUCUAUCAUUUUGCUUUCUAGCACCCUGUGUUCCAGGUGCCCCCAAUUUCUACUUUAUCCUGGCAUGCUUUUAAGUUUCUUUCUAUGCUGCAGAUGAGGCAUAGUCUAUAGGCAUAACUUAGAGUAUUGUUCUUCCAAACUUUGCUGUUUAGGAUCCAGAACAGUGCACUUAGUACUGUCAAUCAAAUGUAACAUCGACAUCUAUAUGUCCAUCAAUUUUCUAGUAGCUGCAUCACAAAAAUGUUAAAAUUAUUUAUAAUUAUCCUUAAUACAUUUAUUUAACUCAAUAUAUGCCAAAGACAAUCCUUCCUAUGUGUAAAUAUCAUAAAAAUUUUUCUUAUUUGUCUUUUUGUUUCAUAUUACAUCUUUAUAAUCUGUUAUUUUAUACUUUUAGCACAGCUUAAUCUAGAUUAGCUAGUGACCAGUAGUUAAUAGCUCACAUAUAUGAUAGACAUGGACUAAUCAGAGCAGUGUAUUCCAGAAUCACAGACUCCCAAUGUCUGACCUAAGCAGACAGUUUGGAAGCCUGAUUGAUUGUGUUUGUGAGUUCACCAAAAAUCCUGGAUAAGAACCCCGUGAACUUAUGUUUCAAUCAGGGAAACAAAAGUUAUGUGUAUCCCCUAUCAGUGUCCUUAGCAACAAGUGAUGCUGUGGGCAGCUUCACAAUUGGAAGACAUUGUCAGCAUUGUCCACGUGUGAGCACAGUGCAUGUUAAAUGGAUAAUGGUGGGAAGUUGAGAUUUUCAUCUAAGUGUGAUGACAACAUCAUUAGUAAAAAUAUCAAGAUUUCAAAAAUCUUACAGACUUUUAUUGCCUUAAUGUUUUCCUGGAAGUCAUAGGCAGUCAAUAGCAUCAAGAAGUAGAGUCAUUUUUAAAACAAUCAUCAAAUUCUCAGAGAGAUUAUUGAGUACCAUAUUGUGUGGGUGAAGUCCCAAAUGAUGAGCAGUCAUUCUGACAUGAAAUCACAAGAAUUUAGAGUGAAGAUUUCUGGGACACAUUGAAUGAUGCUUGAAUCCUGACCACUUUGUGGUCCAGUGUAUAUGUGAAAAUGGGAAUAUAGAUCAUAAAACCACUACUGUAAGUCAGGGUCUCUCAGAUCAGAUGGUAGAACAAACAUUAAAUAUUCUCAGAAAACACUUAAGGGUGUUGGAAGGUGACUAGUGAGUUCAUCAUAACCCCAGGCUUUUAGUAUUUGAUAAAAGUUAAAGAACCUGGAAAAGCUGUAAAUAAACUUAUUUACAAUAUUUCCUUGCAAUUUUAGAGCUGGCUAAUUUGGUGUUUGUGCACCCAAGAUGGUUGAUGGGCAAGAAAUGUUGGAUCAAUCUGGAUUCAUCUUGUGAUCUACUUAGAGUAAAAUAGACACCUUUAUUUCUAGCACUUGGUAGACAGAGGCAGGCAGGUCUCUAUGAUUUCAAGGCCAUUCUGGUCUGCAUAGUUCUACGCCAGGUCAACCAUGGCAAAAUAGUUGAGACCCUGUCUUUUUAAAAUAUAUUGUUAUUCUAUAGGAUAUUGAGCUAAGAAUUAGAAAUAGCAAUGUCUUGUGAUAACAAACAAACCAUUGUCUUUCUUUGUGGCAUUUUAGAAGUAUAGGUAAGGAACUGAGGAAACUGCUCAUUUGGUAAAAUGCUUGCUCUGCAAGAAUGAGGACCUGGGUUUGAUCCGGAGUACCCACAUAAAAGCAGGGAUUAGAUAUGUGACUUUGUAAUCCCAACAAUGGGGAGACAGAGGCAGACAGAUUCCUGGGGCUUGCUGCCCAACCAGUCUAACUUAACCAGUAAGCACCAGGUACCAGUGGGAGAGCCAUCUUUAAAAAAUAUGGUAGACAGAGUCCUGAGGGAUGACAGUGAUCUCUGGUAUCUACACACACACACACACACACACACACACAUACACUUGCAUACAAGCACAGCUACACACAUUCCUGCACCUUUAUGCACAGGGACACACAUGUGAACAUGCUAAGCAUCUACAAGACAACAUGAAAAGGCUAGGAAAAAAGCAGUAAGUACAAGCAAGGAAAGUAACAAAGUAAGAUGACAAGGUCUAUAAUCAAAUGUGAGCAGGUGUAACGUAUAUUUGUAAGGAUGAGGCAGAUUGGUGAACUAUCAUUUAAAAAACUGAGGCAUAUCUACUAUGUUGAAUACAUGAGUGGAGUGACAGUGUUCUGAUUUUUCCUGACUCGUUAUCAGUGCCUAUAAAGUCAGUUUGCUAAGGGGCAUGUGUUUUAAGCUGACUGACCUCCUUGAGCUUUCAAAGAAGUUACAUUACAGCUAGGAAUGAGCAGCAAUAGGCAAGUGUCUGAGGUUCUGUCUUCCAAAAUGAUGCUCUGUCUUUGGACUAAGAUAUUCUGGGAAUAGAAGCCUGUUGACUUGGAUGAACUCUGAGAAGAUAUAUCAGUGCUGACAUCCCCAUGUGUUCCACACAUCAGCAAAAGCAGGCGCUUAUGCUAUACGGAAAGGCAUUUUGUUCCAUGUUUUGACAGCUCGGGAUCCAGGAGAAUUGGUCUCCUGGGUGGAUUAUGCUGAGUGUAGACAGAAAGCAUCUUCCAUCUCCUCCUAUAGUGUCAAAUGAAGCAUCUUCCAUCUCCUUCUGUAGUGUCAAAUAAAAACCCAAAGCAGGCUAGAAGAUGUGACACAUGCCUGCAACCCUAGUACUGAGGGAUGGAGGCAGGGGAAUUGUGAGUUUCAAGACCAGUUUGGUUUGCAUGGUGAGAUCCUGUAUCAGAACUAAACAAAUAACUCACAAAAUAAAUAAAUAAAUAAAUAAAUAAAUAAAUAGCCGUGUUUGUAGUGUUGCCUUGUGGAUGAGCCCAGCUGUAACUGAGCAACCUCCCUCUUAGGAUGGAAGACAUGUACCCUGCCUGCUAUUUACAGCCAGAUUCUAAAACUUGAUAGGACGAUAUCUGCUGAGGUGCCAGCUAGAAAAACAAUCAGUGAGGAGAGUCUGUUAGUUAAUUUUAUCAUUGCCGUGACAAAAAUACCAGACAAGAAGCAAUUUAAGGGUGAAGAGGGUUUGUUUUGGAUUAGAGUUGGAGGUGAUGAAGCAGCUGGUCACACUGUCUGCAGGAAGGAAGAAAGAGAGAUGGGCACGGGCACUCAGCUUGCUUUCUCAGUCUAGGACCUCAGCCCCUGGGAAGGUGCUGCCCACAUUUGGGGGUCUUAUCACCUUCAUUAAGUGAAUCUAGAAACUCCUCAACUGGCUCACCCAGAGAUGACUUCUAGGAAGUUCUAGAUCCUGCCAAAUUGACAGCCAAUAUUAAGGCCCACAGAGAGGUGCUGUCUAAGUCCAGAACCCAGGGCGACGACCAGCAGGAGUCUGGCAGCACUACCAGUUAACAGAUGUACCAUUGAAGACCCAGCCAGAGGUCCUUACAUUUCAGUUUGCAGGUGUGUUGUGGAGGUGAAGGGGGUGUCUCCAUAGUCAACCACACAAAGAACUGAAGUGGAGCUUUCAGAUAUUAACUAUAGUUACCAGUAAAAGCUGUGACUGCAUCAAACAUUCCAGAAAGCCAAUGGGUUAAAACUUCAAUGGUAGUAGCGAACUGGCAGUUUCCAGCCCUGGAGGCAAACUAACUUGUUCUAUUUUAGCUCCCCAAAUAGCCACUCCUUGCCCACCUCUGCAUCUGACCUUAACAUGCUUGUGUCUAUCUUGUAAGAUCCUUUGUGGACCAUGAAAACAGACCUCUGGCUCCCACCAAACCAAAUGCUAGGACUGUGGCCAGAUGACAGGGGCCUACAACAGUGCAUCUUUAGAAGUGCAUUAGUGUAGGGAUUAAUUUAUUCUGUUUAGUAUAAAAACUUCAUGGAACUAUUAUCACAUUGGAAUAUGGUGUUUGGAGCAACCUAAGUCUGUGUUUCCAGUCCAUGGUCCCUAAUUCUUGGUUCCAAAAUAAAACUUCUUUAUUCCUUUUGAGGUGAGAUCUGUGUUUUGUGUUGACAGUGAUCAUUUUCCCUUCUCUUGUGCCAUUUAUUCCAACAGAAGAGUGUUAGUGUAGAAGAUAGAACAACAAAACAAGACUCUAGCUAUUUAGAGCAGUGGUUCUCAUCCCGUGAGUUAUGACCCUCUUGAGGGGCUCAUGUAUCAGAUAUCAUGCAUAUCAGAGAUUUACAUUAUGAUUUAUAAAUUAGCAAAUUAUAGUUAAAAAGUGGCAGCAACAUAAUUUUAUGGAGAACUAUGUUAAAGGAUCACAGAAUUAGGAUGGUUUAGAACUACUGGUUUAGAAAUGUCUGUUUCUAGCGGGUUCUUUAUGGAUGGAAAUGCUCCUCCUAAAAACCACAUUUGUGUUAACAGUCUAUAAAGCAGAUUGAUAUAAAACAUCAGUGACUAUGGGGAUUUGUAAUGUUACCAGUCCAGAGGCAAAUGAUCUUGUUCUUUCAAGAUAAUGUGUAAAAACUAAUGCAAAAACCUAGCUUUCACCACCAAGGGAAUAGGAAGGUUUAUUUUGGAGCCAAGCAUGAGCAACCAGGGCCUGAAAAUACAGAUUGAGGUUGUCCCAAAUACCAUGUUCCAGUGAGUGGGUUUGGGGCACCCAAGCUGUUUGUCCUGUAGCCUUUGGCUUCCUCCCUUGAGAUAAUGCUCUUUCCUGAAUCACAGGAGCCAUCAGGGAUAGCAGAAACAGCCCACUCUGAUGCUCAGCGCCAGGAGUAUUACCAGAGCUGAGCAUGGGAGCUGCCACUCACAGUAAGGCUCAGAAAGGGAUUUAGGGAACAAGUCAGGCCUAGGCAGGGAUAGAGAGCCACAAAGAGGAAAUUGAGCCAAAGCCACACUGCUUACAUACUAAGCUUCUGUCUCUAGCCCACAAUGACCUGAGAUUCAAGAGCUGGGAGCUAGGUACAGGGAGAGAGUCUCGUGUCCCACAGCAGGUCUCAAAGCCUUGACUGGGAGUUGUGAUUGGUUUUGGUGAAAGCAUGUUUGUCCUUACCAGAUUCUGCAGGGAAUCCAGGUGUGAUGAACUGGUGUGACAUCCCUUACCUUGCUGCAUCGCUGAGUCACUGAACUGCAGAACAACACUUUAGGAGUGCCCUAAGUAGAUGUUGCCUCCUGCCAAGCACCAGUACCUAUGUAAAGACAUCUGCAUGAGAUAGAUUGUUGUGGUAUUAAGGGCAAUGGGCAUUAAUUUUUGUAUUGAUUAUGCAGCAUUUUGUCUUUUCUGCCUUGGCCCAUUUCUCUCUUCUUCUUUCUCAGAAAUAUCCAUCACUUUAAAUAAACUCUUGCCAUUAAGAGACAUAA